rnacentral:rRNA from 1 species
UGGGGAAUAUUGGACAAUGGGCGAAAGCCUGAUCCAGCCAUGCCGCGUGUGUGAAGACGGUCUUCGGAUUGUAAAGCACUUUAAGUUGGGAGGAAGGGCAGUAAGCGAAUACCUUGCUGUUUUGACGUUACCGACAGAAUAAGCACCGGCUAACUCUGUGCCAGCAGCCGCGGUAAUACAGAGGGUGCAAGCGUUAAUCGGAAUUACUGGGCGUAAAGCGCGCGUAGGUGGUUCGUUAAGUUGAAUGUGAAAGCCCCGGGCUCAACCUGGGAACUGCAGCCAAAACUGGCGAGCUAGGGUAGGGCAGAGGGUGGUGGAAUUUCCUGUGUAGCGGUGAAAUGCGUAGAUAUAGGAAGGAACACCAGUGGCGAAGGCGACCACCUGGGCUCAUACUGACACUGAGGUGCGAAAGCGUGGGGAGCAAACAGG